UACGUAGGGGGCAAGCGUUGUCCGGAAUCAUUGGGCGUAAAGAGCGCGUAGGCGGUCCGGUAAGUCGGUUGUGAAAACUGGGGGCUCAACCCUCAGAGGCCGACCGAUACUGUCGGGCUAGAGUCCGGAAGAGGCGAGUGGAAUUCCUGGUGUAGCGGUGAAAUGCGCAGAUAUCAGGAGGAACACCGGUGGCGAAGGCGGUUCUCUGGGCAUGAUCUGACGCUGAGGAGCGAAAGUGUGGGGAGCGAACAGG
rnacentral:rRNA from 1 species